GUCUUUGUGGAGUAGAAACUCACUCCCAUCGAUUAGGGAAGGCGCUUCUGAUUAUCAAUCGGGGAGAGUCGGUGGUUCGAAUCCACCCGAAGACG